rnacentral:lncRNA from 1 species
GUUAAUGUUCCUGAGAGAUCUGAUAUUUGGGGGAAAUAAAUGGAGGUGGAGUGGACCUGAGGAAUAUAGGAGGUAGGAGGGGGACUUAAAUAGAGAGAGGGUAAGCUGCAGUAAGGAUAUAUUAUACAAGAGAAGAAGAUUUUGUAGACCAGUCUGGCCUUGAAUUCAGAAAUCUGCCUGCCUCUGCUUCUGCCUCCCGAGUGCUGGGAUUAAAGGCAUGUGCCACCAUGCCCGGCUCCCUCCUUAAUUUCUAACUGCAUUCUAUGCUAUCCUUUUCACCAUGUAAUAAUGAACACUGAGUCCUCUUUUUUUCAUCCUUAGAUGUUUAAUUUUCUCUGGUGUUUAUUUCUCCCUCUUUAAUUCUCCCUGAAUCUGCCCACAUUUGUAAUUUUUUUCCUUUUAUUGAACACUGAAAAUUCUGUUUUUAACCCACCAUUUUUUUUUUGUUCUAAUACAGUGUUUUUGAAUUCAGUACACUCAAGGAACUAUAAAUGCUCUCAAAAUCAUUUUAUAAACAAACUUCUGUUUAUAAAAUGGCAUUAAAUUUGUAUGCCAUAAUUAGUAUUACACAAAGCUAGAGGAUCUUUCUAAUAAAAAACAUCAAUACUUAGUGAGUGACAUACUAUGACAGAACAAUAUAUCAAACAAAUGAUUUAUUGUAUUAUGGAGAAGGUACAAUUUUGAUUUAGAAAGGCUGGCUUUUACCUAAUAUGGUAAAUCUGGAUACAGUCAACAAGGUUUUAAGUCAAAACCUUUAACCUGAUCUGCAGGCUAACAGUUUUAAUGAAAUUAAGCGAAUACUUUUAUUAAAACCCAUUUUGAAGGAUUUUUUCAUUAAUUUAUUAACUUUAUGUAUGUCCCAAUAUCAGCCCCCACUCCCAGACUCCCUCUCACAAAGCUCCUCC